rnacentral:rRNA from 1 species
GACGAACGCUGGCGGCGUGCCUAAUACAUGCAAGUUGAGCGAUGAAGAUUGGUGCUUGCACCAAUUUGAAGAGCAGCGAACGGGUGAGUAACGCGUGGGGAAUCUGCCUUUGAGCGGGGGACAACAUUUGGAAACGAAUGCUAAUACCGCAUAACAACUUUAAACAUAAGUUUUAAGUUUGAAAGAUGCAAUUGCAUCACUCAAAGAUGAUCCCGCGUUGUAUUAGCUAGUUGGUGAGGUAAAGGCUCACCAAGGCGAUGAUACAUAGCCGACCUGAGAGGGUGAUCGGCCACAUUGGGACUGAGACACGGCCCAAACUCCUACGGGAGGCAGCAGUAGGGAAUCUUCGGCAAUGGACGAAAGUCUGACCGAGCAACGCCGCGUGAGUGAAGAAGGUUUUCGGAUCGUAAAACUCUGUUGGUAGAGAAGAACGUUGGGGAGAGUGGAAAGCUCAUCAAGUGACGGUAACUACCCAGAAAGGGACGGCUAACUACGUG